rnacentral:rRNA from 1 species
UCUAAUACCGGAUAUGACCUCUUAUUGCAUGUCGGGUGGUGGAAAGAUUUAUCGGUGCAGGAUGGGCCCGCGGCCUAUCAGCUUGUUGGUGGGGUAAUGGCCUACCAAGGUGACGACGGGUAGCUGACCUGAGAGGGUGACCGGCCACACUGGGACUGAGACACGGCCCAGACUCCUACGGGAGGCAGCAGUGGGGAAUAUUGCACAAUGGGCGAAAGCCUGAUGCAGCGACGCCGCGUGAGGGAUGACGGCCUUCGGGUUGUAAACCUCUUUCAGCAGGGACGAAGCGCAAGUGACGGUACCUGCAGAAGAAGCUCCGGCUAAUUACGUGCCAGCAGCCGCGGUAAUACGUAGGGUGCAAGCGUUGUCCGGAAUUACUGGGCGUAAAGAGUUCGUAGGCGGUUUGUUGAGUCGUUUGUGAAAACCAGCAGCUCAACUGCUGGCUUGCAGGCGAUACGGGCAGACUUGAGUACUGCAGGGGAGACUGGAAUUCCUGGUGUAGCGGUGAAAUGCGCAGAUAUCAGCGAGGAACACCGGUGGCGAAGGCGGGUCUCUGGGCAGUAACUGACG